rnacentral:rRNA from 1 species
CCUACGGGAGGCAGCAGUGAGGAAUAUUGGUCAAUGGACGAGAGUCUGAACCAGCCAAGUAGCGUGAAGGAUGACUGCCCUAUGGGUUGUAAACUUCUUUUAUAUGGGAAUAAAAUGUUCCACGUGUGGGAUUUUGUAUGUACCAUAUGAAUAAGGAUCGGCUAACUCCGUGCCAGCAGCCGCGGUAAUACGGAGGAUCCGCGCGUUAUCCGGAUUUAUUGGGUUUAAAGGGAGCGUAGGUGGAUUGUUAAGUCAGUUGUGAAAGUUUGCGGCUCAACCGUAAAAUUGCAGUUGAAACUGGCAGUCUUGAGUACAGUAGAGGUGGGCGGAAUUCGUGGUGUAGCGGUGAAAUGCUUAGAUAUCACGAAGAACUCCGAUUGCGAAGGCAGUUCACUGGACUGCAACUGACACUGAGGCUCGAAAGUGUGGGUAUCAAACAGGAUUAGAUAUCCUUGUAGUC